UACGUAGGGUGCGAGCGUUAAUCGGAAUUACUGGGCGUAAAGAGCUUGUAGGCGGUUUGUCGCGUCUGCUGUGAAAAUCCGGGGCUCAACCCCGGACUUGCAGUGGGUACGGGCAGACUAGAGUGUGGUAGGGGAGACUGGAAUUCCUGGUGUAGCGGUGAAAUGCGCAGAUAUCAGGAGGAACACCGAUGGGGAAGGCAGGUCUCUGGGCCACUACUGACGCUGAGAAGCGAAAGCAUGGGGAGCGAACAGG
rnacentral:rRNA from 1 species